GUAGCAGGAGUAUGAUAAGUAUAUUUGUUUUCCACACAAAAGGUUCAGAGUUUAGGAUUGUUACU
rnacentral:tRNA from 1 species